CACCGCUAGCGGAAAAUGAGCUGGUGCACCAUCAUGCAUAAAAUACGUGAUCUGCCUCUGUGCUAUGGGAACUUCCUCCAAAAGUGCUGGUAGAUCAUGUAUUAGAAAAUUAAGGUAACUUUGACCAUUUAGCCUAAAAUGUUUAUUAUUAUAAAUAACAAGCGACUUUUCAAAAGGUGUCAAAUUAACCUCGGGGGUAGAAAAAAUGGUCCAAUAAGUCUAUCGCCAAGAAUUCCCGCCCAAACAUUAACUGAGAAUCGAAUUUGGUGUCGACUUUCCACAACAGCAUGAGGGUUCUCAUCGGACCAGUGAUGUGUAUUAUGGUAAUUGAAAAUUCCAUUUCUUGUAAACCCAGCUUCAUCCGUGCAUAAAAUAUUUGCCAAAAAAAGGGGUUCUUGUACCUGUUUUCUUAAUAACCAACGACAGAAGAUGACUCGAGCGGGAUAGUCUGCCGGAGCAAGAGCUUGUACCCUUUGGAUGUGAUACGGAUGCAGGAGUUGAGUCUUAAGAGUCAUCCACACAGAAUGGCGACUCACGUUUUCCCGCGCUGCAAUUCUCCUUACAGAUAUCCCCGGAUCUUCCUCUACAUGUGCUAAAAUGCGCUCCUCAACAUCAGGUGUACGUACCAUCAAGUUACGGCCACGGUCUUGGUUUCUAUGUCCAAAUGAACCUGUGUCUCUUAGGCGCUGAUGAAUUCUCGCAAAUAUCCGGUGAGAAGGUGCCCUGCGAUUUGGAUAUUUUUGGACAUACAAGCGCUUAGCCAAAAGACCGUUUCCGUUUGCUCUUCCAUAAAUAAAAUGCAUAUCUGCCAGUUCACACACAGGGUAUUCCAUAAUUUGUGAAAUUUUACGUUUACGCACACUUCAACAACAAUCAACUGACAAAAAUAUUUAUGAACCAGAACAUUUCUUUUGCGUACAUGCAAAAUAAAUAAAGUGAUAAGACCGCAUACCUUCAAUAGCUACGUUUACCCCGCGAGUACCAAAUAUUCAGUACGCGGACUAAAACCUCUACAUAUUCUCAAACCUAUUAAGUCACAAUUUGGAAUAAUUUACGUGUAAACUUGUCAACUCGCGCACGUUGAGUUUGAGAAUAGGGGAUUGGGUCCGCGUAUUGAAUAUUUGGUACUCGCGGUGUAAACUAGGCUAAUGAAUCAAAUAAGUAUGCAUUUAAUAAGGAAUUUUGGUAAUUGGUUUAUUUCGUUUUUUUAAAGCAAUACGAUGUUUUAAAAAUCAUGAAAUUUAGAUUUUUCAAUUAAUUAUUUAAUAACUACUUGUUUACUUUUGAAACCCCAUAACUUUCAUAAGUUUAUGUUGUUUAACCAGUUAGCAGCCCAUCAGAGCAAACUUUUUGCCUUCAAUUUUCUCGAAAACCAUCGUUCUGGGCGAUGUGCAACAAGAGUACCUUUUUUGUAGGAAAAAGUAUGUAGUUUUUAAAAAAUGAACCCACGUUGCGAAAAAAAUAACCUAAAAAAAGUUAUUCACGAAUUAACCCCCUACCCUUGCAAAAACUACCCUUUCCGAUUUUCCAAAUUAUUUUUCAGUAUCACCAUUUGAUUUUGGGUCAAAAUUUAUGGCAGAGGAUUUUUUUUCGAAAUUUUAUCUCGUUUUUUAAGCCUACAAUUUCAAAAAACCGUUUUUUAAAUUUACCCUUUCAGUGCCCCUAACUCCCUUAAUAUGCAUUUUCCACCCUAUAGUUAUAGGAACUUUUUUUAAAAUUUUUAGGAGUACUAUCACCCCCCGAAUUUUUUUACACCAUUUCAAUGACACCCUGUAUAUUGGAACAGGCAAUAACAAAACACUCAGAUAAAAUAGUUAAAAUGAAGUGUUCAGCAUUAUUUUCCUCAGAUUGGUGUAAGAUAAUAAUUUCGAUAGUAGUGAUACAAUGCUUAGUUUAUUGCAUUGCUGACGAGCUCCCGGAUCCUAGAAGACUCAAUACCAAUGAAGUAGAGCGAAUAAUGUCGGAUAAUACACCUGUUGCUCUUGUCUUUUUAGAGGCCUGGGUGUCUAGUAACCUCGGUAGUUCUUGGUGGCAUUUUUUGUACACAGGAACUGGAACUGAGAUACCAACGUUAGGAAAUAUGGGCCGACAUAAAAAUAUAAUAAUUCAAGCACUUCCAGAAAAUGCCAAAUUUACGAGCAUAGUACUGCUUGAAAGAACUAGAACGUCUCGCUAUCAGGUGACUGUCCAAAAAGUUACCAGACGUAAGUGGUUAACUUGGUCCUAUCGACGGAAAGAGAAAGACAAAGCUGUAUCCUCGAAGUAUCUAAAAACUCUUGAAAUCGCCAUCCAUAAUAAUAACAUAACAAAUAAAUAAAUAAAAACAUGUUUGUAUUUAAUAUUUAUUAAUAAAAAAGUACAUAAUAUAA
rnacentral:lncRNA from 1 species